UAAGAAACCUUACUGAGGAAACAAAACAAACCAAAACAAAAUGGAGCAAAACAAAUGAAACAAGCAGCUAGCUUGCUGGAGACAUUGUCUGGAAAACAGUGAAAACACUUCCAAACAAAAAUAUAUCAAAGGACUAAUGCUUUGAGCUUAAUUCUAAAGAAACGUCAUAAACUCAAACUCUUGUUUAUGUUCAUAACAGAAAGCAACAGACUGGUAUAGUAACAUGUCACAUUUGAUGACUGCAGCAUAGAUGUCAGGAAUGCAGCUUGGGAUCACCUCCUUCUACUUAGAGUUUAGUUUGAAGGGAUGAGCAAGUAAUUUUUCCUGGGUUGAUGGAAAUCUGUUCUAAAGUCUGUUUUCUAACACUCUCAUAGAUACUUCUCUGUCCAUCGCUCUGUCCUGCCAACUCUGCUGUGAGUGUGAAGUUGUGGCAAGAGGGAUUUCCUAUUCCUAAUGUGACCUGGUGGACACCAACUUUCCUACUAAAUUGCCGAUGUUGCUGAGGAGGCAGCAGUAUCAAAGCCCUUGUGGAUGAAGAUAUAACAAGUUUGGGGAGGCUUUGGCAUUUCUGUACAAUGCUGCUCCCUGAUUGUGACCCAAGACUCAGAUUCUGAAGGAAGCAAAGCAAGCUGGAGGAAAACUGUAUGCCCUGUCUCCAAAACUCCAUAUUAUAGCUGAUCUUCAUCUCUGAUCUGAAAAGCUUCACAGGCCAGAAGAGAAUUGAGAUGAGGAAGGAAGCAGAGAAUGCUGAUGAAUAUUUCCAAUUACCACCCCAACUUACGUCUUGGUUCUUCACAUCAAACCAGAGCAGUUUCUUUGCCUUCACAACCUGCAGACUGACCUCUCGUGUGUACCUGUGGUGGAUUGAAGGUAAUGCUUGUAAUGUUUCUAACACACCCUGAUGCUGUAUUCACUUUAACUUUUAGAAAAGAGAGCAAGAAGCUUCACAGCAGUUUCUUAGGUGCCUGUCUGUCUGUCUGUCUAUCUAUCUAUCUGUCAAUCUAUCUACCUAUAUGCAUAUAUAUUUAAUUAUUUAUUUACUUAUUUAAAGAUAUCUUUUGUUCAUUAACAUGAAUCCUCUGACUGUUACUAAUGUAUGGGACAUACCGUGACAGUAUAAUAGUGUAUAAAUACCCUUCAUCUCAUCCUUGCUAUUGUUACUGUAUUUUAAAAAUAAUUGUGCAUAUAAUUACCCGCUUUUACUCUGUUUUAAAAAAAUACCUACUUACUCGAUUAUAAAAUCCUAUAAAAAGGGGUGAACUCAAAAGGAAAGAGAAGCCAAUUUUCAUUACAUUUCUAAACUAAACAGCUAAUCCUGAUAGAUUCACUCCCUUUCAAAUAGAACACUCAAGAAAUAAAACAGUAAAAAUUCACA
rnacentral:lncRNA from 1 species